rnacentral:tRNA from 1 species
AAGGAUUUAGUUUAAAUUGUUAAAACAUAUAUAUAUUAAUUAUAUAUAUAUAUAUAUGGGUUAGAGUCCUGUAAUCCUAU